CACGUAGGGCGCGAGCGUUGUCCGGAAUUAUUGGGCGUAAAGAGCUCGUAGGCGGCCUGUUGCGUCCGCUGUGAAAGCCCGGGGCUUAACCCCGGGUCGGCAGUGGAUACGGGCAGGCUAGAGGUAGGUAGGGGAGAAUGGAAUUCCCGGUGUAGCGGUGAAAUGCGCAGAUAUCGGGAGGAACACCGGUGGCGAAGGCGGUUCUCUGGGCCUUACCUGACGCUCAGGUGCGAAAGCUAGGGGAGCGAACAGG
rnacentral:rRNA from 1 species